CACUCAGUCAGGGGAAGGAAUAAAAUUCAAGACUUUUGGGAUUCAACCCCCUAUCAGGUAGUCUGUCCCCCACCCCUAAGAGGCGUUGUUUACUCUGUAGUUCCUGUAGGGCAAGAGGGCCCCCUCCGCCAAGUGCAUAGGACAGAGUUGAGGAGUGUCCCAGAACGUAGGGCAGAGGAUAAUAACGUUCAAGGGAUACCGACUGAGCUAUUAGAGGCAGAUCUGUCCAAACCAGAGGAUGAAUUAGGGUUAGACAGUGACGCUAUGGUUUCUACUGUGAAUGAGGAUCAAGGGUUGUCUGACAUUCAGCAUCUCCCUGGCCGAGAUCCCACUAAGGAAACUGGCACCACCUUAGUUUCUGAGCCUCGGAGGUCAGUUAGAAAAACAGCAGGACAACAUUCGAAUUUACAUAGACUGCCACAGUCCGCAUGUGUUAAUAAAGCGGCAGUAUAAUUUUUAUGACUUUUGUUUUAAAGUCGUCGGGUCGACGAUUCUCCUUGUUGGGGAGGGAUGUAAGGGGUGACACCAGGGGGUGUCGCUGUGGUCCCACAGGUAGAACCCUGAUAAAUAGGAAGUGGGUAGCCCAGCCCCUCGUGUGGUGCUAGUUUCUGUGGGGAGCCAGGCUGUUUGCUGGACCCACGCUGUGUUGGUCGCGUUUGAAGCGUUGGGUGAGUGGUAGGAGAAUAUUACGCCAUUUUGGAAGUGUGAAAGAGUGAUAGUGGUGUGCAGGUCUUAAUUGUGUUUUGUGAUAGGACCAAAUGCGGUUUUAAGCCAAGUGAUGGUGAGGACCCGUGGUGGUGAUUGAAGCUGUGUGUGAGGCGUUCAUGACAUGCAGCACUGUCCAUUGUCACCUGCUGUCCUUGUUAGUGUUUUUUUGCUUUUGUUAGUCCGUCCCCUAGGGAGGUUAAAUUGUAUAUUCAGCCUCUGUGUUUGUGUGUACGGACGGACUGACUUAUUAAUCUUAAAUGUUUUUUGUUUGUCUUGGUCACUUCCCCUAACCCUGCGCGGCCAAGUUAACCCUGUAAGACCCGAUCGUGUGAGGUGUUGAGUGUACAUUGCAGUGAAUUGCUGUGCUUUUUGUAAAUCGUCACAUAUUGAGUGGUUUGCAGUGGUUUUCUUUUGCGGAUUUGUUCCGCCUGAUUAUACACGUUUGCUGUGUCUUCGGGUCCCUUAAAGUUAUCUCUGGUACAAGUAGUUAUAGAAAAAGUUUGACCAGCCCUUUUCUAUGUAUAAUAAAUAAAGAAAUAUAUGCUACA